rnacentral:rRNA from 1 species
AGCGAACGCUGGCGGCAGGCCUAACACAUGCAAGUCGAACGAACUCUUCGGAGUUAGUGGCGGACGGGUGAGUAACACGUGGGAACGUGCCUUUUGGUUCGGAAUAACUCAGGGAAACUUGUGCUAAUACCGAAUGUGCCCUUCGGGGGAAAGAUUUAUCGCCAUUAGAGCGGCCCGCGUCUGAUUAGCUAGUUGGUGAGGUAACGGCUCACCAAGGCGACGAUCAGUAGCUGGUCUGAGAGGAUGACCAGCCACACUGGGACUGAGACACGGCCCAGACUCCUACGGGAGGCAGCAGUGGGGAAUCUUGCGCAAUGGGCGAAGGCCUGACGCAGCCAUGCCGCGUGAAUGAUGAAGAUCUUAGGAUUGUAAAAUUCUUUCACCGGGGACGAUAAUGACGGUACCCGGAGAAGAAGCCCCGGCUAACUUCGUG